CCUACGGGUGGCAGCAGUGAGGAAUAUUGGUCAAUGGACGAGAGUCUGAACCAGCCAAGUAGCGUGAAGGAUGACUGCCCUAUGGGUUGUAAACUUCUUUUAUAUGGGAAUAAAAUGUUCCACGUGUGGGAUUUUGUAUGUACCAUAUGAAUAAGGAUCGGCUAACUCCGUGCCAGCAGCCGCGGUAAUACGGAGGAUGCGAGCGUUAUCCGGAUUUAUUGGGUUUAAAGGGUGCGUAGGUGGAAUGUUAAGUCAGUUGUUAAAAUUUGGGGCUCAACCGUAAAAUUGCAGUUGAAACUGGCAGUCUUGAGUACAGUAGAGGUGGGCGGAAUUCGUGGUGUAGCGGUGAAAUGCUUAGAUAUCACGAAGAACUCCGAUUGCGAAGGCAGCUCACUGGACUGCAACUGACACUGAGGCUCGAAAGUGUGGGUAUCGAACAGGAUUAGAUACCCGGGUAGUC
rnacentral:rRNA from 1 species